CUUUGCCUUUUAAUUUUCCUGGACAAGACCUGGGGACAGGAACAAACCUACGUCAUUUCAGCACCCAAAAUCUUCCGGGUCGGAUCAUCCGAAAAUGUCGUAAUUCAAGCCCAUGGCUACACCGAAGCCUUUGACGCAACGAUCUCUCUGAAAAGCUAUCCUGACAAAAAAGUGACCUACUCUUCCGGCUAUGUUAACUUGUCGCCGGAAAACAAAUUCCAGAACUCAGCACUGUUGACAGUAUGUAUUUAUUCCUUGUUUUUUUUUUUAAAUGUAUUUUUGGUAAAAACUUACGCCAAGUUCGAGCACUGGUAAAAUUGCAUUCAUUAGCAUCAUCCCCCAGCUGUGGGGUUUCAAGAUGGUUACCAGUCACUAGUGAUGGAUGAAGCACAGGGCUCUGAACAGAAAAAUUACGUUGGGUUUUGUGAUCUGGCCAUACUCACAUCCUCAAAAAUAAAAUAUUCUCUAUGAAAGCAUUUUGGAGAUGAACUGAAAGUACUUUUAAAGUGAACAUUAGACAUGGAAAAGUGUGAACUGAACAAGCAUAUGAUCUGGAGUACACUGCUGGAGGCUUGUUUGAAAUGUGUUAAACUUUACCAUUCUGAAUUGUACAUACAUAACCCUCAUGCUGUGGCUUAUUGACUCCCGUGGACAGCAACUCUCACUGAAAACACAAAGAAUAAAAAGAACAAACCAAUCAAAUAAC
rnacentral:lncRNA from 1 species